GACGAACGCUGGCGGCGUGCUUAACACAUGCAAGUCGAACGGAAAGGCCCUGCUUUUGUGGGGUGCUCGAGUGGCGAAAGGGUGAGUAACACGUGAGUAACCUGCCCUUGACUUUGGGAUAACUUCAGGAAACUGGGGCUAAUACCGGAUAGGAGCUCCUGCUGCAUGGUGGGGGUGGGAAAGAUUCGGCGGUUGGGGAUGGACUCGCGGCUUAUCAGCUUGUUGGUGGGGUAGUGGCGUACCAAGGCUUUGACGGGUAGCCGGCCUGAGAGGGUGACCGGCCACAUUGGGACUGGGAUACGGCCCAGACUCCUACGGGAGGCAGCAGUGGGGAAUAUUGCACAAUGGGCGGAAGCCUGAUGCAGCAACGCCGCGUGCUGGAUGACGGCCUUCGGGUUGUAACCCGCUUUCGCCUGUGACGAAGCGUGAGUGGCGGUAAUGGGUAAAGAAGCACCGGCUAACUACGUG
rnacentral:rRNA from 1 species